rnacentral:rRNA from 1 species
GAUGAACGCUGGCGGCGUGCCUAACACAUGCAAGUCGAGCGAUCUUCUUCGGAAGAGAGCGGCGGACGGGUGAGUAACGCGUGGGUAACCUGCCUCAUACACAUGGAUAACAUACCGAAAGGUAUGCUAAUACAAGAUGAUAUAAGAGAUUCGCAUGGAUUUCUUAUCAAAGCUCCGGCGGUAUGAGAUGGACCCGCGUCUGAUUAGCUAGUUGGUAAGGUAACGGCUUACCAAGGCGACGAUCAGUAGCCGACCUGAGAGGGUGAUCGGCUCCAUUGGAACUGAGACACGGUCCAAACUCCUACGGGAGGAAGCAGUGGGGAAUAUUGCACAAUGGGCGAAAGCCUGAUGCAGCAACGCCGCGGGAGCGAUGAAGGCCUUCGGGUCGUAAAGCUCUGUCCUCAAGGAAGAUAAUGACGGUACUUGAGGAGGAAGCCCCGGCUAACUACGUGCCAGCAGCCGCCGUAACAC